GGAGUCGUGACCGAGUGGCCGAAGGUGCUCCCCUGCUAAGGGAGUAUGUGGGCAAAACCUGCAUCAAGGGUUCGAAUCCCUUCGACUCCG
rnacentral:tRNA from 1 species